AAUCUGAAGGCUUUGUAACUCAUACUUUCCUUAACAACAGGAGUGAGCGUCAUCUAAUCUGUGGAAUGUCUGAAGAGACCAAAAGACUGCGGAAGCAACGUUUCUUUCAUCACUGCUCUUCAUUUCCUAUCUCCCUCCCUGCUAUAGAUUGCUGUUGAUUCAAACCAACAAUGUCUAAGACAUUGCUACGUAGGAAGAAAAUGAUACUUGGUGCUAAACAGUGGUGAAACUAUCUUCAAAUGAGUGACUCCCACUGGGUCCCUUUCUUAGCAAAGAAACUGGAAACAGGAAAAUGUCCCUCAGUUCUCUCUGUACUUAACCAUCGAAGGGAGUCUUCCACAAGCCAACAAGAACACUCUUUGGAGUUGAGAGCAGACAGCAUAUAUGGCUGCUUCGGUUAAUUUCACACCGGUCUGUGAUGGCUGUCAAACUCCUCCCUGCCUCUGAGCCCCUGCCCUCCUGUUGGAGCUGGCUGACAUCCUAUCGAAGAGCAGCAAACACAGAAAGGAGGGUUGCCCCACAUGGAUUCCCCAUGAGGAUGAUGCACCAGGAAGAACUCUUCAUCUCCCGGAUGCCUGGGUACGCAUGCCUUGGAGUGAAAGACCUCGAGCCACUUGACAGCUUGGCCAUGAACUUCUUAGACAGUAACUAUGCAAGCGCUUCCAGAAAUCAUCAGAGGUCCACGAGCCUGAAGGGGAUGAGCCAGAAGGGAAGCAGUGUGAAGACUCAAGACCACAGAGCCUGGUGGGCCCCAUGGAUGCCGAUCUCCAUCUUAGGGGCAAUCUAGAGGCAUUGAAGAGUUUCAUCACUGGGGAGCCAAGAGGUUCUAUUUGCAUUUUAUAAAAAUUUGAGCUUCAGUGUAGAGACUAAAUUAGAACAAGGCCUAAGAGGAUACAGGAGCUCUUAGGAGGGAAUUGCGUAUAAGAGAAUGUAAAAUAGGGAGAAGCAGCGCAGAUACAGAGAAUAGGAACAGGUUCAAACUGAAAUGGUUCCAGGACUUAUAAGACAGACAUACACAGACCAAAACUCUCAUAUUUCGACGUAUUAAAAAAAAUAGUGUCAUCACAAAAUUGUAAUGACUCCAUGGCAUUUAUCAUAAAAUUAAGUAGUUCAAAUGAGGCUCACUGCAUAUUACUAUACAGGAGAAAACAAAGGACUGAAAUACAUAUGUAC
rnacentral:lncRNA from 1 species